GACCCACAAAACUUGAUUGGUGGACUUGAUCAAUCCAUUCUCCAUGUGCCAAUGUCUGCAGUUGGAGGAAGGACCAUGAGCCAAGGAGUGCAGGCGGCAUCCAGAAACUGGAAAAGGCAAGGGAAUGGCUUCUCCUCUAGAGGCUCGAAAGGGAAUCACUUUCAUUUUAGCUCAGUGAGGCGCAUUCCCGACUUCUGGCCUCCAGAACUGUAAGACAAUAAAUGUCUGUUGUAGUCACUGUGUUUCUGGUCUUUUAUUAUAGCGGCUACAGGGAACAAAUACAGCUGUUCAGUGGAAGCAACAGCUGAGCCUGGGGCCCCGUCGCUGGAGCCCAACACACUCCACCGAGACCACAGUCCCCAUCUGCACAAGUGCAGCCCU
rnacentral:lncRNA from 1 species